CGGAGGGUGCGAGCGUUGUUCGGAAUUAUUGGGCGUAAAGCGCGUGUAGGCGGCUCCUUAAGUCUGAUGUGAAAGCCCCGGGCUCAACCUGGGAAGUGCAUUGGAAACUGGGGAACUUGAAUACGGGAGAGGGUAGUGGAAUACCUGGUGUAGGAGUGAAAUCCGUAGAUAUCAGGAGGAACACCGGUGGCGAAGGCGGCUACCUGGACCGAUAUUGACGCUGAGACGCGAAAGCGUGGGUAGCAAACAGGAUUAGAUACCCUGGUAGUCCACGCCGUAAACGAUGAGUACUAGGUGUUGCGGGUAUUGACCCCUGCAGUGCCGCAGCUAACGCAUUAAGUACUCCGCCUGGGAAGUACGGUCGCAAGACUA
rnacentral:rRNA from 1 species